AUCAACCUAUCAUUUCACAGUGCAGAUCUUUAUGACAGAUGCAACACCAAUACGGUGCAGCGCGACGAUAGAAUCACCCAACUUACACAGACCCUUUGCGGUGGCCGUCUUGAGUGCAGCCUCGAGGAUCACCUCAGUCGACUCUGCAUCAGUUGCCUUGGCGGAGCCCUCCGCCAACAGUGGGAUGAGACCCCUGUAGAUCAGACUAAGCCUGGCUGGUGACUCAUCACUCACCGCCCAAUCAAAAGAAUCAGUAGUCAGCUCCGGUACCACCACUGACA
rnacentral:misc_RNA from 1 species